UACGUAGGUGGCGAGCGUUGUCCGGAAUUAUUGGGCGUAAAGCGCGCGUAGGCGGGAUAGUCAGUCUGUUGUAAAAGUGCGGGGCUCAACCCCGUAAGGUCAAUGGAAACUGCUAUUCUUGAGUGCAGGAGAGGAAAGCGGAAUUCCUAGUGUAGCGGUGAAAUGCGUAGAUAUUAGGAGGAACACCAGUGGCGAAGGCGGCUUUCUGGACUGUAACUGACACUGAGGCACGAAAGCGUGGGGAGCAAACAGG
rnacentral:rRNA from 1 species